AGUGAAUGCUGGCGGUAGGCCUAACACAUGCAAGUCGAACGGCAGCACAGUAAGAGCUUGCUCUUACGGGUGGCGAGUGGCGGACGGGUGAGGAAUACAUCGGAAUCUACUUUUUCGUGGGGGAUAACGUAGGGAAACUUACGCUAAUACCGCAUACGACCUACGGGUGAAAGCAGGGGAUCUUCGGACCUUGCGCGAUUGAAUGAGCCGAUGUCGGAUUAGCUAGUUGGCGGGGUAAAGGCCCACCAAGGCGACGAUCCGUAGCUGGUCUGAGAGGAUGAUCAGCCACACUGGAACUGAGACACGGUCCGGACUCCUACGGGAGGCAGCAGUGGGGAAUAUUGGACAAUGGGCGCAAGCCUGAUCCAGCCAUACCGCGUGGGUGAAGAAGGCCUUCGGGUUGUAAAGCCCUUUUGUUGGGAAAGAAAAGCAGCAGGUUAAUACCCCGCUGUUCUGACGGUACCCAAAGAAUAAGCACCGGCUAACUUCGUG
rnacentral:rRNA from 1 species